GGGGGGGGGCUGGACACCUGGCUUUUAUCCCCCCACGUGGGAGUGGCGUGGAGUCUGGGUUGUUUGAGCUGGAAGGGCUGGGAGCCUCCUGUGUGACUGACUGCAUAGAGGGAUGCCCGCCGAGACCUACCAUCCACCAGGCCACAGCCGCCACUCCCCAGACAGGCUAAAAGAUGGGACAGAGGAUGAUGGCAUGGGGGUGUCAGGGGCGCUGAGCAGGCAGGCCAGCCUGUGCCAAGUCCUGCAGCAGCUACACCCGCUGCAAGCCCAGCUAGCAACCUCCGCCCCGAUUUAGGAGCUGCCAGCACCCUGGUUGGCUGCCGGGAGCACCACCUAUGUUUAGCACCAGAGGGGCCCUGGGUGCGCAGCACAGUGUGCAGUCCUGCUGUGACAAGCCUCCUGUCUCCUGCACUUGGCUUCUCCUGGCUCCCAGCCUUGGUCUUCAGCUGAUUGCUGAGCUUCAGCUUUGCAUUUCCAGGGCGGCAUCAGAGGCGCUGUGAAGCUGCUCAAGGAAGGUGAGAUUUUCUCUGAUGAAUCUGAAUGAGAGAUGAGCAUUGAAGUCUAACAACUGCAGGAUACAUAAAUCAAUGCCUGUUGACUGCGGUGACCAUUUUUGCCUAGUUUCUUGUGCUUCUUAAACCUAAUAUAUUAUUUAGCAAAUUAGUGAACAUUGCAAUAAAGUUGUGUUGUUGCUGUUGUUUGGAUCUUAAAUGGAAUAAUAUAGUGCUGGAUCUGCGGAGCAUUAGAAAUAUUGUGGUUUUUCUUUACCAGGAGGAAAAUGUAUGUCAUUUUAUAUGUGGUUUGAUUUGUGUAUGUAUAUCAGGGCUGUGCGAAAUGGCAGCGUUUCAUUUCGAGUUUUGUUUUGAUUCGAAACGGCCGUUGUGUUGCGGUCCAUCAAAACUUUCGAGGUUUCACCAUGGGCUGUAAUGGGGAAGGACAAAACAGCCUACAGCUUUGUCAUUCGUGGCCUGACUUGGAUGAGACUUGCAGGAAUGGUAGCCCCUGCGGAGGCCACAAAGCCUGCCGAGUUUCAAGUAAACAGGUGCAGAGGUUUUGGGGGAAACCGUACUCAAGCUGCGGACAGGGGUUCUUUAAAGAAGGGAGGAGGGAGGACCCGGGCAACUAUAGGCCCGUUAGUCUUACUUUGAUUCUGGGGAAACUCUUUGAGAAGAUUAUCAAGGAGCACAUCUGUGAUGGGCCGGCAGCGGGGAUGAUGCUCAAGGGCAACCAGCAUGGUUUCAUUCGGGGCAGGUCCUGUCAGACCAACCUGAUUGCCUUCUACGGUCAGGUCACAAAAUCCCUGGACAUAGGUGUCGCAGCAGAUGUAGUCUUUCUGGACUUCAGGAAGGCCUCUGAUACUUUUCCCACCCCAUUCUCAUUAAAAAGCUAGGUGACUGCAGGCAUUGAUGCCUACACAGUCGGAUGGAUUGCAAAUUGGCUGAAGGGUCGUACUCAGAGAGUGUUAUUGAGUGGGUAAUUUUCGACCUGGAGAGAAGUGGGCAGUGGAGUCCCCCAGGGCUCGGUCUUUGGGCCCGCACUCUUCAAUUCCUUUAUUAGCGACUUGGACAACGGGGUGAAAAGCAGCCUGUUUAAAUUCACAGACGACACCAAGAUUUGGGGUGAGGUGGGCACGCUAGAAGCGAAGGACAGAUUACAGCAGGAUCUGGACAGGUUACAGGGGUGAGCAAAUGAAAAUAGGAUUGGAUUCAAUACUGCCAAGUGCAGGGCGCUGCACUUGGGCAAUAGGGACCAGCAGCAUACCUAUAGGCUGGGGAACUCCCUUCUCGAAAGCACGGUGGCAGAAAGAGAUCUUGGAGUCAGUAUUGACUCCAAGAUGAACGUGGGCUGACAAUGCGAGGACAUGGUCAGUAAGGCUAACUGUACCUUGUCGUACAUCCACAGAUGCAUCAUGAGCAGGUCCAAGGAGGUGAUCCUCCCCCUCUCUGCGACACUGGUCAGGCCACAGCUGGAGUAUUCUGGGUGCCGCACUUCAGGAGGGAUGUGGACAGCACGGAGAGGGUCCAGAGGAGGUCCACUCGCAUGAUCCAGGGACAGCAGGGCAGGGCCUACGAGGAGAGGCUACGGGACCUGAACCUGUUCAGCCUUCACAAGAGAAGGCUGAGGGGGACCUGGUGGCCGUCUAUAAACUCACUACGGGGGACCAGCAGGGUUUGGGAGACCUUGUUCCCCCGAGCGCCUCCUGGAGUAACAAGGAAUAAUGGCCAUAAGUUGCUAGAGAGUAAGUUUAGACUAGACUUCAGGAGGCGCUACUUCACAGUCAGGGCGGCUAGGAUCUGGAACCAACUUCCAAGGGAGGUGGUGCUGGCUCCUACCCUGGGGGUCUUUAAGAGGAGGCUCAACAUUUACCUGGCUGGCGUCACUUGAGCCCAGUUUCCUCUGCUGCCCACGGCAGGGGGUCGGACUAGAAUAUCUACAAGGUCCCUUCUGACCCUACGUCUAUGAAUCUAUGACAAGCAAAACUCAUGACAUGGGUGACACUGUGUGUGUUAAGGUGCAGCAGGAUGAAAGCUGCAACCCUGCUAGCCCCUGCUGUGGCCACAAAGCCUGCCAGCUGUCGAGGAGAUCGGUGCAGGGGGGUUCUGGGGCCCUGCAUCCCUAGCUGCUCACAGGCAAAACUCAUGACAUGGGUGCUUUUGUAACUGCUGCCUCGUGAGGCAGCAGGAUUGAAGAUCCACCAUCACUUGCCACCACAGACCUGGGGGUAAUAAUUGACCACAGUAUGAACAUGAACCGGCAGUGCGAUGCUUUAGCCAGCAGCGCCAAGAAUACCCUGGCAUGAAUCAAUUGAUGCAUCUCCAGCAAAACCAUUGCAAAGAAGUGAUUUUCCUGCUCUACUUGGCAUAGGUGAAACCGCUGCUGGAGUACUGCAUUCAGUUCUGGGCUCCGCACCUUAACAAGGACAUGGUAAACCUGGAGAAAGUCCAGAGAAGGGUUACCCAUAUGAUCAGACUUGCACGGCAAGCCAUAUGAGGAAAGGCUGAGGGACCUGGGACUCUUCAGCCUGAAAAAGAGAAGGCUGGGAGGGCACUUGGUAGCAGUUUACUGCUACAUCAGAAGUAUACAUCAUGGGCUUGGUGAACUGUUCACCAGGAAACCCUUGGGGAAAACUAGGAGUAAUGGUCACGGACUCCUGGAAGACCAUUUCAGGCUCAACAUUAGGAAAAACUACUUCGCAACUAGGGUGUCCAGACUGGAAUAAGCUCCCUCCAGAGGUGGUGCAAUCGCCUACCCUGGCAAUCUUCAAGAGGAGACUGGACAGUCACCUUGCUGGGGUCACUUGACCCCCAGCUGUCUGUCCUGCUUGGUGCAGGGGGUUGGACCUGAUGAUUUUCCAAGGUCCCCUCCAGCCUUACAAUCUAGGAAUCCAUGAGUGGCUGGAGCCUUAGUCUUAGGAGAGAUGGCUUUGAAACGGUUCUUCCAGGCCGAGCCCCCUGCCCCUACCUCCUUCACAGCCGGCAGCCUUUGUGGCCUCAGCAAGGCCUAGCACGCAGGCCUGCAGUAGUUUUCCCCCACCCUGCCCCCAAACAGACACAGUCCCACAAGCACCUAUGACACAAGUUUUGUCUGUCAUCAGCCACAGGUGCAGGCCCCAGAACCCAGAAUCCCUGCACCAACCUCCUCGACAGCUGGCAGGCGUCAUGGCCUCAGCAGGGGCCACCAUCCCUGCAGCUGUCACCCUGCUGCACCUUAACACACAGGGUCACCCAUCACGAGUUUUGCUUGCCCGCAGCUUGAGGUGCGGUUUCCCCCAAACCCCUGCACCUGCCUGUGUGAAACGUGGCAGGCUUUGUGGCCUCCACAGGGGCUAGCAUCCUGCAGUUUUGACCCCCUGUGGUGUAACACAUACACAUGACAUGAGUUUUGCUUUCAGGAAUUUGGGGUACAGUUUCCCCGAACCCCCUGCACCUAUCUCCUUGAGGAUUUGCAGGCUUCAUGCACUCAGAAGGGGCUACCAUUUCUGCAAGUUUCAUCCAAGUCAGGCCAGAAGUGACAAAGUUAUAGGCUGUUUCAACCUUCCCCAUCGUAGCCUAUCGGCAAAACAGCACCAAAACGUUUUGACUUGCCUCGCUUUGUUUCAAGGCUGUUUCAACUAUAUCUGUUCUGUUUCGUUUUUGCUGUUUUGACCUUGAAACGGGUUGAAACAGCAUCAAAACAAAACUGGAGGUGAAAUUUCGCACUGCCCAAAUAUCUGUGUGUGUGUGUGUGUGUGUGUGUGUGUGUUAUAUGUGACAAUGCCCCACACUGUCUGCACCCCCUUUUCCGAAUCCAAGGUCCACCCAUGCAUGUACCUCAAUUAGUCUAGAAAGUCGCUUGUACACGUCACGAGAUUUCCUGUUUACGCCACCGAAACUGCAUUUGUGUUUCCAUGAGCUGGGUUUCCCGCCAUUUCGGAAGUCUUUCCAGUGCGUUUUCAACUCAAGCUGUCCGGACAUGUUUUAUUUUGCAUCGCUACAGCUUGCGUCGCCCUAUCUAGGGAUUCGUGGCGUGCGAACACUAAGCGACUCAAAGACUUGUAGCUACUUCCUUUUGCCACCAGGGGGCAGUGUUGCUAUGUCUGUCUGUAGCUCAGGCCUCUGGCCAGUAGGUGGCGCUGGUAUUUGCUGCCUGCAGGCAGCCAGAGGGCACCGUGCCCGGGGCACAGGUGGUAAAGUUACUUUGGUAGUAGAGAAUACAGGUAAAGAAAUAAAAGAGAAAAAGGAAUGGAGGAGCAACCAACCCGUUUUUUGCUACUACCCUCUGCUAGUGGUACCACCACCCCUAGUCCUGUAUGUUCCCCCCACCCACGGCACCCCCUGCCUGCUGCUCCCACCACGGUGUUCACCACUGCCGACGAGCGCAGCGGCACCACCGCUGCCAGCGCAUAGUAAGUUUGCAACUUGCUGGACUUGUGUUUGGCGUGUGGCACCUUUUCUUAACACUUCAGUAUUUCUAAUAAUUGACUAAUGCCAUUCAUUUCAGAAAUAUGAGCAAUAGCGCAGGCAGACGCUGCAUGCCAGACCUGACCUCCAGCAUAUGCAGCAUCCCGGGUGACAUAUAGAAGACUUUCCAGAUUCGAAAUCGAGAAGGAUCAGUAAGGAAAAAAAUCAUCAAGGAUCCACCCACCAGGAGAAGCAAAUUUGUUAAAUAGUGUAGUAAAUUUUAUAUAGAAAAUAGUGUAUAUAUAGUUAAAUAAUGUAUCAGUAGUGAACAGAUAUCAUAUAGGUAUUGUAUAGAUAGUGUAAAUAAACAAUGCUGUAUAGGUGCUGGGGAGGAAAAUCCCCAUUCUUUUUCUUUUUGUCUAUUUUCCAAUUUUUUUUAAUUUUUAUUUAUUUAUUUAGUUUUAAUUAUUCCUUUUUUGAUUAAAAAAAUCAUGUAAGUACACCACAUUUUUGCAAUAAAGAUUUGAAAAGGUU